UAGAGAGCUUAAAUAGCAUUCGGAGGCAGUGGUAGCGUCAUUAGCCCUUGGGGGAGGCUGGGUUCUAUCUAGUUUGGUGCUUAUUUAAAUUACGUUACAGCUAAUUUAUUUCCGUUAGGUUAUUAAAGGAGUAUGAAUGGAAGCGUAGGUUGUACAAUGGGCCGUGCUGCCCGCUGUCUUGGUAGGCAGGAUGAAAUUAAGUUUGGCACCUAACGAAAAUGAUUUCUAAGAAGUAUUGGGAAGUUUCUCCAUGUUGCGGCAUGUCGGUGGACCACGCCACGUGGUCGCAAGUCCAGUGCCGGCCGUCAACCUGGGCUCAAAGAUUCCGGCGAAGGAGCUGUCGAUCACGGUGAUGUGGCGCCCCCAAGACCGCUUCCACAUCGUGGUUGCUUCGGAUUUUUAUGACCUCGGCGAUCUGAAAAAUAAAUUAAUUCAAUACUA